GUGAGACUGCAGCUUUUUCAAACAUGAGGCUUGUGGUCCCUGCAAGGAAAAAUUGUUAAAGUACUUGUGAUACAUCAGUGGACCUAGGAAGGUUGGCAUUCCUAUCAGAGCAGAAGGUGGCAUGGAGCUCACGGCCAGCACUGGCAGUACGCCUGCUUCGUCUGGUGAUUCACUGAAUUAAUCACUCCACGGACUGUGUUUGCUCUUGGUAGCAUUUUUCCCUCCAUUAUUUCUUCCAGUUAGCAAGACAUACCUUAUUUUAAGUAUUAUUAUUGUACAAAAAAAUUUUAUUCUGAUUAAAAACAUUAAUGCCACUCAAAAGA